AUACGGAGGAUGCGAGCGUUAUCCGGAUUUAUUGGGUUUAAAGGGAGCGUAGGUGGGAUAUUAAGUCAGCUGUGAAAGUUUGGGGCUCAACCUUAAAAUUGCAGUUGAUACUGGUUUCCUUGAGUACGGUACAGGUGGGCGGAAUUCGUGGUGUAGCGGUGAAAUGCAUAGAUAUCACGAAGAACUCCGAUUGCGAAGGCAGCUUACUGGACUGUAACUGACGCUGAUGCUCGAAAGUGUGGGUAUCAAACAGGAUUAGAUACCCUGGUAGUCCACACAGUAAACGAUGAAUACUCGCUGUUUGCGAUAUACGGCAAGCGGCCAAGCGAAAGCAUUAAGUAUUCCACCUGGGGAGUACGCCGGCAACGGUGAAACUUAAAGGAAUUGACGGGG
rnacentral:rRNA from 1 species